UAAACAGAGAGUUUGAUCCUGGCUCAGGAUGAACGCUGGCGGUGUGUCUAAGGCAUGCAAGUCGAAUGCUAGUAGCAAUACUGGCAUGGCAAACGGGAGAGUAACACAUUGGUAACCUACCUCGAAGACGGGGAUAACCUUGCGAAAGCGAGAAUAAUACCCGAUAGUAUGUCAGAACUCAAGUUCUGCCAUUAAAGCUCCGACGCUUCGAGAGGGGCCUAUGUCCUAUCAGCUUGUUGGUAAGGUAAAAGCUUACCAAGGCUAUGACGGGUAGCGGGCGCGAGAGCGUGACCCGCCUCACUGGGACUGAGAACUGCCCAGACUCCUACGGGAGGCUGCAGUCGAGAAUCUUCCUCAAUGGGCGAAAGCCUGAAGGAGCGACACCGCGUGCAUGAAGAAGCCUUUCGGGGUGUAAAGUGCUUUUAUAUGUGACGAAACAAUGACGGUAGCAUAUGAAUAAGGGGCUGCUAACCUCGUGCCAGCAGCAGCGGUAAUACGAGGGCCCCAAGCGUUAUCCGGAUUUAUUGGGCGUAAAGCGU
rnacentral:rRNA from 1 species